UAUGAUAUUUAUUAACAGGGUAAAUUGGAAGAUGGUACAGAGUUCGACAGCAGUAUACCAAGAGGUCAACCAUUUGUAUUCACAUUAGGGGGUGGACAGGUUAUAAAAGGAUGGGAUCAAGGCUUGAUUGGAAUGUGUGAAGGAGAAAAAAGAAAACUGGUUAUUCCGUCUGAAUUAGGCUAUGGGGAUAAUGGUGCACCACCCAAAAUUCCAGGUGGUGCUACGCUUGUAUUUGAAGUGGAGUUACUCAAGAUUGAGCGAAAGUCUGAGCUUUGAAACUAAAGUAAUGAUUAUAGUUAGUUAGAUAGCAUAUAAAUUCCCCUCCAAUCAAGAUAUAAUAUUGUUGUUUGGGAAACAAAAUACUCUGGGUUAUUUUUUCUUACCUACCGUAUUUGGGCAAAGCUUGAAAUCUGGGCCUGUGCUUGUCCCACUCAAAAUAGGCCAAUGUUAUCAUUUCUCAACAUUUUUGUCAUCGUAUUUUUUUCUAUUUUCAUCAAAUGCUCUUUCAAUAUCGACCCCAGUUAUACAAGUACUUUAACAGAGAGAUUUGUUCUUACUGUACCCAAACUAGACUGAUGUCCCCAUAGCAAAAACAUAUGUAUGUUGAUAAUAAAUAUUGAUAAUAAAUAUUUGUAAAAAUUUACAA